rnacentral:lncRNA from 1 species
AGUUCACAUAAAAUAUAUCUCCUAGUGUCCAGUUUGGUUUUAUCUGAUGAAGCAAAGCAGAGAAAAUAGAGUAUGCAUCGCCUGGCCAUUCAAAACCCUUGAGCUCUCUGAGAUCAUCUUUUGUCUUUGUAAUAACCUCUCUUUUCCUUGUUUGAUUCACAUAAAUGUUUAUGAAGAGGUCUGAUCUUUGAUGUCAAAAUCCUUUCCUACCACAGAAUGGAAAAAGCCUACAGUCCAUAUGCUUCAGUCUAUUGUGUCUUGAUCUAAGAAGAGAUGCAGAACAGAUGGUAUGUUGGUGGCAGGCUGAGUUAAGCUUAUCUUCUGUAAGAAAAGAUUUCUACUGUCCAUAUUUCUGACUUAUUAUACCCAAUUUUAAUAUGCAUCUUAAAUGACAAGUGUGAAAAUAUAAGCACUUAAAUAUUUGCAGUUCUUUAAAUCUUGACGAACAUUGGUGGACAUAGUUAUUAUAUGAAAAUUUAAGAGCUGUUUUCAUGAUGAUUUUUAAAUCCAGACUUUCUUCAGUCUUUGCUAAAUUUAAAUCUCAC